GGGUUGUGAGGUUAAGCGACUAAGCGUACACGGUGGAUGCCCUGGCAGUCAGAGGCGAUGAAGGGCGUGCUAAUCUGCGAUAAGCGCCGGUAAGGUGAUAUGAACCGUUAUAACCGGCGAUACCCGAAUGGGGAAACCCAGUGUGAUUCGUCACACUAUCAUUAACUGAAUCCAUAGGUUAAUGAGGCGAACCGGGGGAACUGAAACAUCUAAGUACCCCGAGGAAAAGAAAUCAACCGAGAUUCCCCCAGUAGCGGCGAGCGAACGGGGAGGAGCCCAGAGCCUGAAUCAGCAUGUGUGUUAGUGGAAGCGUCUGGAAAGGCGCGCGAUACAGGGUGACAGCCCCGUACACAAAAGCGCAUGUGCUGUGAGCUCGAUGAGUAGGGCGGGACACGUGGUAUCCUGUCUGAAUAUGGGGGGACCAUCCUCCAAGGCUAAAUACUCCUGACUGACCGAUAGUGAACCAGUACCGUGAGGGAAAGGCGAAAAGAACCCCGGCGAGGGGAGUGAAAAAGAACCUGAAACCGUGUACGUACAAGCAGUGGGAGCACCCUUUGGGUG
rnacentral:rRNA from 1 species